AAUGUAACAAACUAACAAUAAAUCUAUAAUAAUUAUUUAAAUAUAUUGUAUUAAAAAUAGAUAAUUAAAAAUAAAAAAAAUUACAAAAAAAACCAAAUAACCGAAUCGAACCGAAUCGAACCAAAAUUCUCAAUUCGGUUUCGAUUUGGUUCUUCUCCUAUUCGGAUCAUUUUUCAUUUUUCAUUUUUCUGUUAUAUAAGUUUCGGGUC
rnacentral:lncRNA from 1 species